ensembl:processed_transcript
GCAAAUCCCUGUUAAGCACAUUCAUACCAGCCCUACUGAAAUGGGCAUUAGAACGUUUCUAAAAACAUCUAAUAACGGCUCUUUCAUCUCCUCAUAAUUCUGCCUUUUUCAGCAUUAACAGCAUGAUUCUGCCUGAUGAAUAUGCUUAAAUUAUCAGGUUAUAAACCAAGCAAUCUCUCUAAUCUAGACGGCUGCAACGCUCGGUUGCAAUCAACAUUACACCCGCCACCCGAUUUCUGGCAAUCGGAGGUCACAAUUAUAUUUCGUUGUCCGUUUAACAUUCGGAUGCAGAAGUAGCCCACACAUUUAUGCUUAAAAACGAUCCGCUGGAGUUUCGCCAAUAACUAUGGCGUUUGCACGUAAUUCAUCUACAAGUUUCCCGUUUCUCUCUCCCUAAUAUCCCCCAGCUAAAGUAGUGUCCCACUCCGGCCCUGUUUCUAAUAUGUGCAUUCUCAUCGCGGAAGAACCUCCGGCUUAAGCACUCUAUAGAAUUCUUAAGCAUCAAUUUGGAGUGAUAGAAUUUCAAGCAUUAAUAAGCUACUUGA